CUCUGAUUAAAAAUUACUUGAGAAACAGCAUGUCACAACAACGGCUUUCUGGCCUUGCCCUUCUAAGCAUUGAGAAUGAAAGAGCAAGAAAACUGGACAUUCCAGCUAUUGUUGACAAAUUUGCUGAGUCUAAAGCGAGACGGCGCAACUUCUAGUAAUAUGUAUUUUGCGUAAGUGAGCAGUUUGUUGGGUACAGGGAGUUAUAUUAUCAAAGUUCAUACUAACCCAGUUCAAUUUAUUCAACUUUGGUUGUACUAAACAGUUAACUAGUUUGGUUCUAUUUUAGCUGCCUUCUUUUUGGUAACAAUGAUGCAGAUUAAUAAACAAUUCUGAUGUUGUUAGACUCUAAAACACAACGACCGCCUUUGAACUAUUUGAAUACAGCACUGGUUUCUGCACAACAAAAGCUUAAUAUCAAAAAGAAGGCAGAUGUUACCAACAUCAAAAAUACUUAACAUAAUUACUAAAUGCUACCAUCUCCUUUCCUACAGUGAGAACAAAUUGGUUCCUUUCUACUUGAUGCCUCCUCGUUGGACCUGGCUGGUUAAUUUUGAUGUUUCAUUUGGAUUUCUGUUCUGGUUGAGAAGCACAACUCGUGCUUAUUCACAAUCAAAUUUUGUGAGAACAAAUUGGUUCCUUUCUACUUGAUGCCUCCUCGUUGGACCUGGCUGGUUAAUUUUGAUGUUUCAUUUGGAUUUCUGUUCUGGUUAAGAAGCAUGACUCGUUCCUUUUCACAUUCAAAUUUUGUGAGAACAAAUUGGUUCCUUUCUACUUGAUGCCUCCUCGUUGGACCUGGCUGGUUAAUUUUGAUGUUUCAUUUGGAUUUCUGUUCUGGUUAAGAAGCAUGACUCGUUCCUUUUCACAUUCAAAUUUUGUGAGAACAAAUUGGUUCCUUUCUACUUGAUGCCUCCUCGUUGGACCUGGCUGGUUAAUUUUGAUGUUUCAUUUGGAUUUCUGUUCUGGUUAAGAAGCAUGACUCGUUCCUUUUCACAUUCAAAUUUUGUGAGAACAAAUUGGUUCCUUUCUACUUGAUGCCUCCUCGUUGGACCUGGCUGGUUAAUUUUGAUGUUUUAUUUGGAUUUCUGUUCUUGUUAAG